rnacentral:tRNA from 1 species
GGUAGCGUGGCCGAGCGGUCUAAGGCGCUGGUUUAAGGCACCAGUCUCUCCAGAGGCGUGGGUUCGAAUCCCACCGCUGCCA